rnacentral:rRNA from 1 species
CAGCAGUAGGGAAUCUUCCACAAUGGGCGAAAGCCUGAUGGAGCAACGCCGCGUGGGUGAAGAAGGUCUUCGGAUCGUAAAACCCUGUUGUUAGAGAAGAAAGUGCGUGAGAGUAACUGUUCACGUUUCGACGGUAUCUAACCAGAAAGCCACGGCUAACUACGUGCCAGCAGCCGCGGUAAUACGUAGGUGGCAAGCGUUAUCCGGAUUUAUUGGGCGUAAAGGGAACGCAGGCGGUCUUUUAAGUCUGAUGUGAAAGCCUUCGGCUUAACCGGAGUAGUGCAUUGGAAACUGGGAGACUUGAGUGCAGAAGAGGAGAGUGGAACUCCAUGUGUAGCGGUGAAAUGCGUAGAUAUAUGGAAGAACACCAGUGGCGAAAGCGGCUCUCUGGUCUGUAACUGACGCUGAGGUUCGAAAGCGUGGGUAGCAAACAGGAUUAGA